GGAGUACGGUCGCAAGAUUAAAACUCAAAGGAAUUGACGGGGGCCCGCACAAGCAGCGGAGCAUGUGGUUUAAUUCGAAGCAACGCGAAGAACCUUACCUGGACUUGACAUCCCUUGCAUAGCCUAGAGAUAGGUGAAGCCCUUCGGGGCAAGGAGACAGGUGGUGCAUGGUUGUCGUCAGCUCGUGUCGUGAGAUGUUAGGUUAAGUCCUGCAACGAGCGCAACCCUUGUUAUUAGUUGCUACCAUUAAGUUGAGCACUCUAAUGAGACUGCCUGGGUAACCAGGAGGAAGGUGGGGAUGACGUCAAAUCAUCAUGCCCCUUAUGUCCAGGGCUACACACGUGCUACAAUGGUAGGUACAAUAAGACGCAAGACCGUGAGGUGGAGCAAAACUUAUAAAACCUAUCUCAGUUCGGAUUGUAGGCUGCAACUC
rnacentral:rRNA from 1 species